UCUACAGUGCACGUGUCUCCAG
rnacentral:miRNA from 10 species